GACGAACGCUGGCGGCGUGCUUAACACAUGCAAGUCGAACGGAAAGGCCCUGCUUUUGUGGGGUGCUCGAGUGGCGAACGGGGGAGUAACACGUGAGUAACCUGCCCUUGACUUUGGGAUAACUUCAGGAAACUGGGGCUAAUACCGGAUAGGAGCUCCUGCUGCAUGGUGGGGGUUGGAAAGUUUCGGCGGUUGGGGAUGGACUCGCGGCUUAUCAGCUUGUUGGUGGGGUAGUGGCUUACCAAGGCUUUGACGGGUAGCCGGCCUGAGAGGGUGGCCGGCCACAUUGGGACUGAGGUACGGCCCAGACUCCUACGGGAGGCAGCGGUGGGGAAUAUUGCACAGUGGGCGGGAGCCUGAUGCAGCAACGCCGCGUGCGGGAUGACGGCCUUCGGGUUGGAAACCGCUUUCGCCUGUGACGAAGCGUGAGUGACGGUAAUGGGUAAAGAAGCACCGGCUAACUACGUG
rnacentral:rRNA from 1 species